rnacentral:rRNA from 1 species
AAAUUGAAGAGUUUGAUCAUGGCUCAGAUUGAACGCUGGCGGCAGGCCUAACACAUGCAAGUCGAACGGUAACAGGAAGAAGCUUGCUGCUUUGCUGACGAGUGGCGGACGGGUGAGUAAUGUCUGGGAAACUGCCUGAUGGAGGGGGAUAACUACUGGAAACGGUAGCUAAUACCGCAUAACGUCGCAAGACCAAAGAGGGGGACCUUCGGGCCUCUUGCCAUCGGAUGUGCCCAGAUGGGAUUAGCUUGUUGGUGGGGUAACGGCUCACCAAGGCGACGAUCCCUAGCUGGUCUGAGAGGAUGACCAGCCACACUGGAACUGAGACACGGUCCAGACUCCUACGGGAGGCAGCAGUGGGGAAUAUUGCACAAUGGGCGCAAGCCUGAUGCAGCCAUGCCGCGUGUAUGAAGAAGGCCUUCGGGUUGUAAAGUACUUUCAGCGGGGAGGAAGGGAGUAAAGUUAAUACCUUUGCUCAUUGACGUUACCCGCAGAAGAAGCACCGGCUAACUCCGUGCCAGCAGCCGCGGUAAUACGGAGGGUGCAAGCGUUAAUCGGAAUUACUGGGCGUAAAGCGCACGCAGGCGGUUUGUUAAGUCAGAUGUGAAAUCCCCGGGCUCAACCUGGGAACUGCAUCUGAUACUGGCAAGCUUGAGUCUCGUAGAGGGGGGUAGAAUUCCAGGUGUAGCGGUGAAAUGCGUAGAGAUCUGGAGGAAUACCGGUGGCGAAGGCGGCCCCCUGGACGAAGACUGACGCUCAGGUGCGAAAGCGUGGGGAGCAAACAGGAUUAGAUACCCUGGUAGUCCACGCCGUAAACGAUGUCGACUUGGAGGUUGUGCCCUUGAGGCGUGGCUUCCGGAGCUAACGCGUUAAGUCGACCGCCUGGGGAGUACGGCCGCAAGGUUAAAACUCAAAUGAAUUGACGGGGGCCCGCACAAGCGGUGGAGCAUGUGGUUUAAUUCGAUGCAACGCGAAGAACCUUACCUGGUCUUGACAUCCACGGAAGUUUUCAGAGAUGAGAAUGUGCCUUCGGGAACCGUGAGACAGGUGCUGCAUGGCUGUCGUCAGCUCGUGUUGUGAAAUGUUGGGUUAAGUCCCGCAACGAGCGCAACCCUUAUCCUUUGUUGCCAGCGGUCCGGCCGGGAACUCAAAGGAGACUGCCAGUGAUAAACUGGAGGAAGGUGGGGAUGACGUCAAGUCAUCAUGGCCCUUACGACCAGGGCUACACACGUGCUACAAUGGCGCAUACAAAGAGAAGCGACCUCGCGAGAGCAAGCGGACCUCAUAAAGUGCGUCGUAGUCCGGAUUGGAGUCUGCAACUCGACUCCAUGAAGUCGGAAUCGCUAGUAAUCGUGGAUCAGAAUGCCACGGUGAAUACGUUCCCGGGCCUUGUACACACCGCCCGUCACACCAUGGGAGUGGGUUGCAAAAGAAGUAGGUAGCUUAACCUUCGGGAGGGCGCUUACCACUUUGUGAUUCAUGACUGGGGUGAAGUCGUAACAAGGUAACCGUAGGGGAACCUGCGGUUGGAUCACCUCCUUA